rnacentral:piRNA from 1 species
UAACAAAACUUCUAUGACUUUUUAUACUGUA